ensembl:snRNA U6 U6 spliceosomal RNA
GAGUUCACUUCAGCAGCACAUACACUCCAAUUGGAACAGUACAGAGAAGAUUAACAUGGCCCCUGCGCAGGGUUGACAUGCAAAUUCAUGACAUGUUCCAUAUUAAA